GUGCCAGCAGCCGCGGUAAUACGUAGGGGGCGAGCGUUGUCCGGAGUUACUGGGCGUAAAGGGCACGCAGGCGGUGCGGCGCGUUUCGCGUGACAGCGGAGGGCUUAACUCUCCGAGGAUGCGAAAGACGGCGGCACUUGAGGGCCAGAGAGGGACACGGAAUUCCGGGUGGAGUGGUGAAAUGCGUAGAGAUCCGGAGGAACACCAAUGGCGAAGGCAGUGUCCUGGGAAGCAUCUGACGCUCAGGUGCGAAAGCUAGGGGAGCGAACAGGAUUAGAUACCCUGGUAGUCCUAGCCGUAAACGAUGACCACUAGGUGUGGGAGGUAUCGACCCCUUCCGUGCCGUCGCAAACGCAAUAAGUGGUCCGCCUGGGGAGUACGGUCGCAAGGCUAAAACUCAAAGGAAUUGACGG
rnacentral:rRNA from 1 species